rnacentral:rRNA from 1 species
AACGAACGCUGGCGGCGCGUCUUAAGCAUGCAAGUCGAACGGUAACACGGGGCAACCUGGUGACGAGUGGCGAACGGGUGAGUAACGCGUAGGUGAUCUGCCUUAUGGUUGGGGAUAUACUGUGGAAACACAGGGUAAUACCGAAUGAUGUCGUAUUCCUUGGGGGAAACGAUUAAAGGGGCUACGGCCUCGCCAGAAGAUGAGCCUGCGUUUGAUUAGCUAGUUGGUGAGGUAAAGGCUCACCAAGGCGACGAUCAAUAGCCGGCCUGAGAGGGUGGUCGGCCACACUGGGACUGAGAUACGGCCCAGACUCCUACGGGAGGCAGCAGCUAAGAAUCUUCCGCAAUGGACGAAAGUCUGACGGAGCGACGCCGCGUGGGUGAUGAAGGCGGAAACGUUGUAAAGCCCUUUUAUAGGCGAGGAAUAAGAUCCGGAGGGAAUGCCGGGUCGAUGACGGUAGCCUGUGAAUAAGCCCCGGCUAAUUACGUG